AACGAACGCUGGCGGCAGGCUUAACACAUGCAAGUCGAACGCAUCCUUCGGGGUGAGUGGCAGACGGGUGAGUAACGCGUGGGAACGUGCCCUUCAGUUCGGGAUAACCCAGGGAAACUUUGGCUAAUACCGGAUACGUGCGAGAGCAGAAAGAUUUAUCGCUGAAGGAUCGGCCCGCGUCUGAUUAGCUAGUUGGUGGGGUAAUGGCCCACCAAGGCGACGAUCAGUAGCCGGUCUGAGAGGAUGAUCAGCCACAUUGGGACUGAGACACGGCCCAAACUCCUACGGGAGGCAGCAGUGGGGAAUAUUGGACAAUGGGCGCAAGCCUGAUCCAGCCAUGCCGCGUGAGUGAUGAAGGCCUUAGGGUUGUAAAGCUCUUUCGUCCGGGACGAUAAUGACGGUACCGGAAGAAGAAGCCCCGGCUAACUUCGUGCCAGCAGCCGCGGUAA
rnacentral:rRNA from 1 species